AUCUCACUUCUGUUCCAUCUUUGUUGGAAGUCGCGAAUGUGCAGUACCUAGGUAAGGACUACUAGCCAGUCAGAAGCAGAGUAUGAGGACGUGCCCUGGCAGUACCCAGGUAAGGACUACUAGCCAGUAUGAAGCAGAGUAGGAGGGCGUGCCCUGGCAGUACCCAGGUAAGGACUACUAGCCAGUCAGAAGCA